rnacentral:rRNA from 1 species
GCACCUCUAAAAAUGGUGCAGAAUAAGGGGUGGGCAAGCCUGGUGUCAGCCGCCGCGGUAAUACCAGCACCCCGAGUGGUCGGGACGAUUAUUGGGCCUAAAGCAUCCGUAGCCGGUCAUGCAAGUCUUCCGUUAAAUCCAGCCGCUCAACGGUUGGGCUGCGGAGGAUACUACGUGGCUAGGAGGCGGGAGAGGCAAGCGGUACUCAGUGGGUAGGGGUAAAAUCCUUUGAUCCAUUGAAGACCACCAGUGGCGAAGGCGGCUUGCCAGAACGCGCUCGACGGUGAGGGAUGAAAGCUGGGGGAGCAAACCGGAUUAGAUACCCGGGUAGUCCCAGCCGUAAACGAUGCAGACUCGGUGAUGGGAUGGCCUCGAGCUAUCCCAGUGCCGCAGGGAAGCCGUUAAGUCUGCCGCCUGGGGAGUACGGUCGCAAGACUGAAACUUAAAGGAAUUGGCGGG